AUCGAAUGUGUAGUGCUUUUCGGAGUUACAAGAGACUAGGUGGACAAUCUAAGGGAACUAAAUUAACAUGGAUUCCAGCACAGUGUGCUCAACAACCGGGAUCACUAGAUUGUGGCUACUACGUCAUGCGUUUUAUGUACGACAUAAUAAUGAAUCAUGGUAAUAGUCAAGAUCUUACUAAGGAUUUUUCAAGAACAUUGCCUUAUUCACCGGAGGAGAUUAAUGAGGUGAAAGAUUUUUGGGCAAAUUACUUCAUGAACAAUGUCGAAUUUUUAGCUUAAUUUGUAAUAUGAACUUGAUCUCUAGCUAGCUACGUACCUUUGUUGUAAUAAUUUUAUGUUUGUUGUAACAUGUUGGUUGAUCGAUCU